GGGAAGUGGCCGCUUGAGGAGGAAAGGAAAAGAAGGAAAGCGGGCAAGCGAUUUGUUCAAGAGCGCUGUAAAGCCACACAGCUGUACACACACACAAAAGUUCUGGUUAAAUUUAAAAAGUCAGAGGAACAAGUCAGUAGCUGGAGAUGCUGCUCAUAAAAGCAUGGCGAGGAAGACUAUCUCUGUGAUUCAGAAGGACUAGAAGCGAAACACCAACUCCCUAUCUGUGAAUUAAGCAAGGCAGGUAGCGGGAGUUAAUUCAUUUGUGAAAUGCAUAUUGGACACUUGAAGCUAUCUUAUAUUGAAUUGGAUCAUUAAUCGGUCUGGCCAGGUAGGAGGGAUCUUUCCCAGCCCUGUGGCCUGAAAUCUUUCAACUGGAUGCAUCUGAGAUUGAAACUGGGACCUUUCCAAUGCACAGCAUGUGCUUUAUCAACGUUCACAGGUCUCAUGUGAAGCUUUGAUAGCAGCCCAUGUAAAUUAUGUGGGAAUGCUGGGCAGAAGAUGGCAAAAUACAUGCUUAUAAUUGGAAUGCAGCUCUCUAUUUACAAUGUUCUCAC